rnacentral:rRNA from 1 species
AUUGAACGCUGGCGGCAGGCCUACCACAUGCAAGUCGAACGGGUGGCGGACGGGUGAGUAAUGUCUGGGAAACUGCCUGAUGGAGGGGGAUAACUACUGGAAACGGUAGCUAAUACCGCAUACCAUCAGAUGUGCCCAGAUGGGAUUAGCUUGUUGGUGGGGUAACGGGUCACCAAGGCGACGAUCCCUAGCUGGUCUGCGAGGAUGACCGGCCACAGCGUAAAUUAGACACGGUCCAGACUGCUACGGUAGGCAGCAGUGGGGAGUAUGGCAGAAUGGGCGCAAGCGUGAUGCAGCCGUGCCGCUUGUAUGAGGAAGGCCUGAGGGUUGUGGAGUACUUUCAGCGGGGAGGCGUUACCCGCAGAAGAAGCACCGGCUAACUCCGUGGCAGCGGCGGCGGUAAUAC